CUGGGAAGUCAUUCAUUACCUGCUGCAACAUCAAGCUCUAAAUUUCAAGUUGGACUUUAGAAAGAGUAAAACCUCUUGUGAAAACAUCAGAGAACUUCUGCCGGUGUUAGACAGAAUCCAGCUGAAACGGUUGAGCCCCAGCUUUACUCUGUCCAUCAUUAUGGAGAUUUACGAGACUCGCUUUCCUCAGUAUGUGUCCAGUCUGAUGAGUUCAGCAGGAAAUGACAUCAACCUGAAUGCCAGAGUGUUGGACUCUGUUCACUGCGCUGCCCUGCGCUUCACUCUAGAGCACUGCAACACUGUCAAACUCAAUCUGCUCUGGACCUCCAUACCAGAGGAGCAGCUAGAGAGCUUUCUGCCUUUACUCAGCAGAGUCAAACAACUCAGGUUUACUGAUAUAACAGCACUGAUAUCAUAUUAAACAUGACUGUUCUGUUGUGUAUGUUUGUUAACAGUAUCUGUGUGUGUUAGUGUUGACAGGCUGCUGUUGCUGAAGCUGCUUCAUUGCUGCAGUUCCUCUGAUCUCCAGCAGGAGGCCGCAGAUGUUCUUCUCGCUGCUCUUCACAACACGCUGGACUUCUCCUGCUGCUCUGCUCUGGAUUUAACAGACACACAGGAAAACCAAGAGCAUUUGAAACUAACUGAAAAAGACUGUAGAAUAAUCUCAUCUGUGCUUCAGAAAACUCAAAGCAUUGUGAAGUUGAGCUUACAGGACUGUGAGCUCUCUGAUGAGGCCCUGAAACAACUUUGGCCAAUCCUGCCUCAAGUGCAGCUGAACUGUAGUAAAGCUCUGCUGCUGCAGUUUCUGGCUUGUAUUAGUAAAGAUGGAUCUCAGAGAGGCUCUUUGAGGAGCGCUGAGGCUCUUUCACAGGCUUUGGGAGGAGAGAUGGACCUCAGUCACACUCAGAUGGACCCGAGAGUUUGUGAACAGCUGGCGCUGUUUCUGGAAUAUUCUGAAGGACUGACAGAACUGGAUCUCAGUCACUGCAAACUCACUGAUCUCUGCAUGGAGCCGCUGCUGCCACAUCUGCACAAAACCCAGACUCUGGAUCUGAGUCACAAUACUAUCACAGAUGAAUCAGCAAAGAGAGUCCACAGUGUCGUCUGCACUCACAGCAAUAUUCAGACUGUACGACUCUUCGGAAACAAAAUCAGUGAUAGAAAGCAGUUCAUCAGAGACAAGCGAUUUGAAAUAUGGUGAAGAUCCUGGGCCAGAAACGUAUUGAUUUAACAUUAAGAGGGUAUUUUGUAUAAGGCUUGAUUCAUGAUGAAACAAACUGACAGUUACUUUGCAAAGCACUAAACUGUGUUCUGUGUAGUAGUUUAUUUUUAUGAUUAAUUUAGAAUAAUAGCUUUAUAUCUUUAAUGCAGCUUUGGUUAAUUUGAACCAGAUUUAUAUAAAUGAAAUGUUUAUUAUAUUACAAAGCUAUGAUGAUGUAUAUUUUGCAAUGUGUUAGGCAAGAGUUAUGGUUUGGGGAUGUAGUGCUACUAGGUGUUGAUCUGUCUUCACUGGCUACCCUUCACCGCUCACAUCAAGUUCAAGACCGCCACAGGCUGCUCACCCUCUUACAAAUACACCUCCACUGCUGCUGUUGGUGGGUGAGCAACACCUUGUGCUUCUAUAACACUGGCACAGUCACUUUCCCAAACAUUCAUGUUCACCGGUCCUUGCUGGUGGAAUGAUCUUCCCAAUCUUACCCGGACAGCCGAAUACUGUAUUCAAGAAACGGAGGUUCAAGAUUUUUUUUUUUUUUUUUUUUUCAGUGAGCACUUAACUGUGGAUGUUGACUGGAAAAAAUAUUUCUAUGCUUUAUAUUACUGUUAUUACCGCCACAGGAUGAAUAUCUUUGCUAAACUCCUGAUUUUUUAAAAUGUUUUUAUUUGCUUUGGUUAAAAGCAACAGCUAAAUGAAUUUAUAUUCCAGUAAUCGGUCUCUUUUAAUGCACGUAAUCGAGCUGUAAUUAAGCUGUGGGUGUUAGCAUGGUUCUGUUUUAUUAUUACUAUUAUUAUUAUGGUUAUGGUUUUCAUACUGUACAUGCACAUUUACAACAAUAAACCUUGUUUAUGUCUUUAUACUGUAUAAGGUUUUCAUGACAUGAUGUUGUGAAGCAAUUUUACACUGACUUUAACCAGCACUAAUUCAAAAAGUGUAGUUAUAUCAUAGUAAGUCAGACUGAGUUUUGAGAAAGACACAACUAUGAUUAUUCAAUAAACGCUUAAUGUUUGACUAACGUUACC
ensembl:lncRNA